AAGGAACGCUGGCAGCGUGCAUAACACAUGCAAGUCGAACGGUAGUAUUAUCUUCGGAUGAUAUGAGAGUGGCGAACGGGUGAGUAACACGUAAGAAUCUACCUUUAGGACGGGGAUAACUUCUGGAAACGGAUGCUAAUACCCGAUAUGCUGUGGAGUGAAAGGAAUUUCGCCUAGAGAUGAUCUUGCGUCUGAUUAGCUUGAUAGGGUGGUAAUGGCACCCUAUGGCGACGAUCAGUAGCUGGUCUGAGAGGAUGGACAGCCACAUUGGGACUGAGACACGGCCCAA
rnacentral:rRNA from 1 species